CGAAGCCCAAAGAGAAGGGGGUGAAGAGCUGGAACUUCUCUGAGAACUUGAGGGGUCCGCUGGGGGAGUCGGGCCGGUUGCACUCCCAACGUUUGAAGCCCUUCUGCCGGUGGUCGCAGGACGCGUGGCCCUCGUAGUUGACCAUGUAGAGGACGUAGCGCUCCAUGCGCUCGGCGGGCAGCGGCUCCUCGUAGUGAGGGCAGUAGAUGUCCAGGUAGUCAUUGAUGCUCACCUCCACGGUGUAAUCCCCGCGGUGGAACCUGGGGUUGCUGCGGUUCCAAUAGACGGCGUAGCGGUCCGAGAUCACUUUGCCGGG
rnacentral:lncRNA from 1 species